AGUGGGCUGGCGAGUUUACUUUGAACAAAUCAGAGUGCUUCAAACAGGCGUCUCGCCUGAAUGUUCGUGCAUGGAAUAAUAGAAGAGGAUCACGGUCCGAUUUUAUUGGUUUUGCUGACCGAGAUAAUGGUUAACAGAGACAAACGGGGCCAUUCGUAUUGCUACGUGAGAGGUGAAAUUCUUGGACCGUAGCAAGACGGACUACAGCGAAAGCAUUUGGCAAGAAUGUCUUCAUUAAUCAAGAACGAAAGUCAGAGGUUCGAAGGCGAUCAGAUACCGCCCUAGUUCUGACCGUAAACGAUGCCAACUAGCGAUCCGCCGGCGGAUUCAUUCGCCCUGGUGGGGAGCUUCCCGGAAACGAAAGUCUUCCGGUUCCGGGGGAAGUAUGGUUGCAAAGCUGAAACUUAAAGGAAUUGACGGAAGGGCACCACCAGGAGUGGAGCCUGCGGCUUAAUUUGACCCAACACGGGGAAACUCACCCGGCCCGGACACCGUAAGGAUUGACAGAUUGAUAGCUUUUUCAUGAUUCGGUGGAUGGUGGUGCAUGGCCGUUCUUAGUUCGUGGAGCGAUUUGUCUGGUUUAUUCCGAUAACGAGCGAGACUCUGGCCUACUAAAUAGUUGGCACAUUGCCACUGUGUGCCCAACUUCUUAGAGGGAUUUUCGGUGUUCAGCCGCACGAAAUUGAGCAAUAACAGGUCUGUGAUGCCCUUAGAUGUCCGGGGCUGCACGCGCGCUACACUGGCAAAAUCAGCGUGCUUGUCCUCCCCCGAAAGGGGUUGGUAAACCGAUGAAAAUUUGCCGUGAUUGGGAUCGGACAUUGCAAUUAUUGUCCGUGAACGAGGAAUCCCUUGUAAGGGCGAGUCAUCAACUCGUCCUGAAUACGUCCCUGCCCUUUGUACACACCGCCCGUCGCUGCCCGGGACUGAGCCAUUUCGAGAAAACCGGGGAUUGUUGGCCUGACGGCUCUCGGGUCGUCUAGCCGAUGAGAACCGGCUUAAUCGCACUGGUUUGAACCGGGCAAAAGUCGUAACAAGGUAGCUGUAGGUGAACCUGCUGCUG
rnacentral:rRNA from 1 species